rnacentral:rRNA from 1 species
AUUGAACGCUGGCGGCAUGCCUUACACAUGCAAGUCGAACGGCAGCACGGGAGCAAUCCUGGUGGCGAGUGGCGAACGGGUGAGUAAAGUAUCGGAACGUACCUUUCAGUGGGGGAUAACGUAGCGAAAGUUACGCUAAUACCGCAUAUUCUGUGAGCAGGAAAGCAGGGGAUCGCAAGACCUUGCGCUGAUGGAGCGGCCGAUAUCAGAUUAGCUAGUUGGUGAGGUAAAGGCUCACCAAGGCGACGAUCUGUAGCGGGUCUGAGAGGAUGAUCCGCCACACUGGGACUGAGACACGGCCCAGACUCCUACGGGAGGCAGCAGUGGGGAAUUUUGGACAAUGGGGGCAACCCUGAUCCAGCCAUGCCGCGUGAGUGAAGAAGGCCCUCGGGUUGUAAAGCUCUUUUGUCCGGAAAGAAAGCAUUCGGUUAAUACCCGGGUGUUCUGACGGUACCGGAAGAAUAAGCACCGGCUAACUUCGUGCCAGCAGCC